UUGAUUGGUUAAGGCUCCCAGUAGACGACUGGGUUGAUAGGCCAGAUGUGGAAGCCUGGUAACGGGUGGAGCUGACUGGUACUAAUAGGCCGAGGGCUUGUCCUCAGUUG
rnacentral:rRNA from 1 species